rnacentral:rRNA from 1 species
CCUACGGGGUGCAGCAGUGGGGAAUUUUGCGCAAUGCUCGUAAGAGUGACGCAGCGACGCCGCGUGAAUGACGAAGGCCUUCGGGUCGUAAAGUUCUUUCGACAGGGAAGAAAAUGCCUAGAAGUAACUGGGUACGUAUUUACGGUACCUGUAUAAGCAGCCCCGGCUAACUCCGUGCCAGCAGACGCGGUAAUACGGAGGGGGCGAGCGGUGUUCGGAGUGACUGGGCGUAAAGAGCACGUAGGCGGUGUUGUAAGUCAUUAGUCAAAGACUAGAGCUCAACUUUCGUACGGCUAGUGAUACUAUAAUACUAGAGUAUCAGAGAGGAUUGCAGAAUGCCUGGUGUAGCGGUGAAAUGCGUAGAUAUCAGGAGGAAUACCGUUAGCGAAGGCAGCGAUCUGGCUGGAAACUGACGCUGAGGUGCGAAAGCGUGGGUAGCAAACAGGAUUAGAUACCCCUGUAGUC